UACAGAGGGGGCAAGCGUUAUUCGGAAUUAUUGGGCGUAAAGGGCGCGUAGGCGGCCUGGCAAGUGGAAGGUGAAAUCCCUCGGCUUAACCGAGGAACUGCCCUCCAAACUGCUUGGCUUGAGUCCGGGAGAGGUGAGUGGAAUUCCCAGUGUAGCGGUGAAAUGCGUAGAUAUUGGGAGGAACACCAGUGGCGAAGGCGGCUCACUGGACCGGUCCUGACGCUGAGGCGCGAAAGCGUGGGGAGCAAACGGG
rnacentral:rRNA from 1 species